UGCUUAACACAUGCAAGUCGAACGAUGAUCCGGUGCUUGCACCGGGGAUUAGUGGCGAACGGGUGAGUAACACGUGAGUAACCUGCCCUUAACUCUGGGAUAAGCCUGGGAAACUGGGUCUAAUACCGGAUAUGACCUUCCAUCGCAUGGUGGUUGGUGGAAAGCUUUUUGUGGUUUUGGAUGGACUCGCGGCCUAUCAGCUUGUUGGUGAGGUAAUGGCUUACCAAGGCGACGACGGGUAGCCGGCCUGAGAGGGUGACCGGCCACACUGGGACUGAGACACGGCCCAGACUCCUACGGGAGGCAGCAGUGGGGAAUAUUGCACAAUGGGCGCAAGCCUGAUGCAGCGACGCCGCGUGAGGGAUGACGGCCUUCGGGUUGUAAACCUCUUUCAGUAGGGAAGAAGCGAAAGUGACGGUACCUGCAGAAGAAGCGCCGGCUAACUACGUGCCAGCAGCCGCGGUAAUACGUAGGGCGCAAGCGUUAUCCGGAAUUAUUGGGCGUAAAGAGCUCGUAGCCGGUUUGUCGCGUCUGCCGUGAAAGUCCGGGGCUCAACUCCGGAUCUGCGGUGGGUACGGGCAGACUAGAGUGAUGUAGGGGAGACUGG
rnacentral:rRNA from 1 species